CCUCUCUGUCUUUCUUUUAUGUACACAGGUAUGUGCCUCGUGCCCGAGAGCGGAGGAGAGAGCGAGCGGCGGUGGUGGUGGGUGCAGCCGGCGAAGAGGCCACUGGAGGCCGCGGCACGUCGUGCGGGGGCUCGAGGGGUGCCAGGUGCGCAGGGAGGGGAGGCCGGUCUCAGAGGCGAGGGCAGGAGAUGGCGGGCGAGCGUUCGGGUAGGGGGUACCGAUCCCAAAGCGUCGGCGCAGAGGCCGACGGGGUCCAAGCAAGGAGCAAGCAAGAACCAGAGGGAAAUAGAUUGAUUAGUACAAAUCCAAAAAAUCCCCUCUUUAUUCCCCUCCAUAUCGUCCCGCAACCUGUAAACGCCCUCACCCCCUCUAGCUACUCCUGCUCCUGACAGACCACGUGACGACCACGCCCCUCCCGUCCCCUCUCCCUACCGACGACGCGACGACAAUCGACGUAUAUCAUGACGAGGAAAGGACAACAAACAACUAACUACGACGAUGACGACGAUGAAACUACGUCAACGACGAUUAAACUACACCUCCUGCACGUCCCUGUCUGCUACUCGCUCGUCUCCUAAAUAGGCCCUGGAUUUAAACCGUCCGUUUACCCACUCGAGAGUGUAGGGAGAGCCAGAGGAAACUAAACAACGUCUAAAGAAGCUUCAGGUACUGGAGAGACAUACAACUAACGUGGGUACAUGAUGUAUGAAGGUUAAAGAAGACAUAGCACAUAUAUGGUUAACAAAAGGAAAUGAAACACGUGUUACUAACACGAGAUCGUGAUUAUAUUUAAAACCUAAGUAUUAACGUCGGAUAGUAAUUAAACGGCGUUUUGAUGUUGGUUACAGUUUUAGGAAUAAAAUCAGUCCUGUUUAUUGAUAAAUUUUUGGGUUUUGAUCGACGUAAGUUAUAAACUAUCCAAUUAAGGUAGUAAGUCAUAAACCUCAUCUACGAUGUCAAUAUUACUUUAUCAUCCUAAGGACAUUAACACGUAUCGUCGUCGCUCCGCGAGAUUUAAAGAUGUACUGUGGCUUGAAGUUUGUCUUGCGGAGGUACCAACUACUACACGAGAAUCUAAUAAUCAAAGAAACUUAAAGAGACGAAGGUAAUCUAAUUCCAAUAUUACGUUUGCAUAUCUAUCUACAUAGUUAGGUAAGUCUGUGUCAAAAGACAAAGGAUUGGAGGUACACAUACAUUAUAAUAAUAAAACCUUUUCCUAGUAAAUAAUUCCGUUGUUCGGUUGUGUUUAUUCUUUUGAACCGGCGAUGUACAAUGAUUGAGAUUUGACUUUUCCAAGAUUUAGUUGACUGAACUGGCCUCGAGAUAGAAUUUCUAAACUAGUAUUGUCUCAAACCGUCCAAAGGGGCUUUCUUUUUUCGUCUCAAACCGUCCAAUCCACUCUGUGCAGUAAUCUAAACAAUACUCGUAACGCUAUAGGAUCCAAUCUGUCCAUGCGUUUAAUUAGUUUUAAAAGUAAAUUGUACGUCAUCUUUGUUUAUAUACAUUAACAGUUAUAGUCACACGGCCACUUCUUUGAGUCAGUGACGGUUUCAUGACAAGAGGGUACGAUUUCGACUUUUUUUUGACGUACGUGUAAACAAACAAAGUCGUGUUCUUUUGUAAGUUUGAAUUAUAUGGAUAGCGUAGAGUACCACAUACUAAUUGAACGUGAAGUAACAAAGAUAAAGGUUUUAAAUAAUAAGUACCAGCCAAUAACGGCAAAGUUAUGUUAGUUGGAAAAGUUUAUAUAAACCUAAUAUAAUCCUUUGACGUAGAUACACAAAGACUCAAUCUCGAGGAUUGUCCGAUGAAUACGAAGGAAUCAACGAAGGUAAAAUUGAAAUCUAGCAAUAAUUCUACCUGGAGGCUCGGUAUAUCAGGUAUUCCUUCACAAGUCUAUGAACAUCUAGUACGUUCACUUCUCACCGAAAUUAUGAAAACUCACCUGUAUUUCAUUAAAAUUCUAGUUAUCAACUACAAGAGAGAGAAUUUUUUUAUGACUGUUAACUACGGUUGCUGGGCUUACCAGGUUGUGUGUUAUAAAUAAGAAGAAGCAUUUUCUUAAUACAAAAGAUUAAUAAUAUAUCCUCCCGUGUAGUUUACAAAAGUAAACCACGUAGUCAAGUUUCGUUCGGUCUUUGUAAUUCAGAAGAUAAAAACAUCUAGUCUUAGGAUCUGCACCAGUCAAAUAUAGUAAAAAAGGCCAUGGAGACAACACGUAUAUAAAGAGUUUGCUUAAGACGGUAGCUAAUCCUCACUUUAGUGGUACUGUAAAUGUUCGAAACAGAAGGUACGAGUCCAGUUACUAUGGACUUUAAGAACCCUGAAGAAAGCUUAGCUUUGUAAUCUUCUAUUCGAACACCACUGAAAUACUCCAAAACCGUAAACUGGCAAACUUUGAAAUCUAACCGUCUCUCUAUCUCUGGGACCACGAGACUUCCUACAACUUAAACUCUAGUUUUUAAUAACAACAAUUUAUUAGAAACGAAGAAAGUUAACCUUUUAAAUCGCAACAACCAACAAACUACAACGUCGCCCGGAACCGUCACCGCUCGAUCCACGGCCGCUCCAUCCGCUGUAGCAGUUGCUCCCGGUAGUACCGGAGGUGGACGCGGGAGAACGUCCACCUGACGACCAGUAGCUACGCCGCCCAGCCCGAGAACGUCGUUGUAGAUGCUAUAAGAGACCUGCUCGACGUCCAUCCGGUCCGUCAUCUACUCCUAAGCUGCUGGUGGUGGCUCCAUACGGGAGGAGAGGAACGGUAACCCGACCGUAGAGACUAGUCCAACAUUAGACGACGACAUCACAACGAGAAACCCCUAAGGACACCCUAGAUAAAAACUAACCAGUUUCGACCAAACAACCGGUGGCCAACCAAAUUGUACUACGAUAUUACGCGAUGCCUCUCUAUACAAUAAGGUCAUGUUCACCGGCCAGUCAAUUAAACUCCUAAAAACGGAAAACAAGAAGUCCGGAUAUCGAAACACCAAAGUCAGGCUGUCAAUUUUCAACAUAACCGAACAUUUUUAAGUACACUGACCUGGUCAUCCACUCCUACUAGAGUAUACCUUUUAUGACGAGGUACCAUAAUUUUAUACAAUAUCCACAACCUUCAGUCACGAUCCUCGAGGACCCUACACGAGUACGUACGAACCAACCUUGAAAAGAAAACUUAGUUAACUACUUGGCUACCGUAGUCUAUACGGCAUACACAUGAGGUGAUGCAUGCUGUCCCACUUUUGUUCAAACUAGCUACCUCUACCUAAAGAUAGGACAACCACGUUAACAUACAAGUCCACCAAGAAAGUACAGGCAAGAGAGGUCGAAGAACUACAAAAGAAAGAGUCCACAUUAAAUCAAGGGUAAACAUUAUCGGUUUAAAAGUACAGUUUGUACUAAAUUUCUAAAAGA
rnacentral:rRNA from 1 species